GACAAGGAGGCAGAUAUGGAGCAGAGCCAACACAAUUCAAACACGGCCCUGGCCAAUCAGCAUCUCCUCAUAGAGAUGAAUUAAAUCAAUGAAUCUCUAUAAGGAAAGUUCAGUGUCUGCAUGCAGAGGGAGGAUAUACUGAAUGUUUUGAUGCAUUUUAGGCAGCCAUGACCCAGAAAGGAUCUCUGACAACCAUCUGAGGAGUGGCCACUGAAG